rnacentral:rRNA from 1 species
GACGAACGCUGGCGGCGUGCCUAAUACAUGCAAGUAGAACGCACAGUUUAUACCGUAGCUUGCUACACCAUAGACUGUGAGUUGCGAACGGGUGAGUAACGCGUAGGUAACCUGCCUGGUAGCGGGGGAUAACUAUUGGAAACGAUAGCUAAUACCGCAUAAUAUUAAUUAUUGCAUGAUAAUUAAUUGAAGGGUGCAAUUGCACCACUACCAGAUGGACCUUCGUUGUAUUAGCUAGUAGGUGAGGUAACGGCUCACCUAGGCGACGAUACAUAGCCGACCGGAGAGGGUGGGCGGCCACACUGAGAGGGAGACCCGGCACAGACGGCUUGGGGAGGCAGCAGUAGGGAAUCUGCGGCAAUGGACGAAAGUCUGACCGAGCAACGCCGCGUGAGUGAAGAAGGUUUUCGGAUCGUAAAGCUCUGUUGUAAGAGAAGAACGGGUGUGAGAGUGGAAAGUUCACACUGUGACGGUAUCUUACCAGAAAGGGACGGCUAACUACGUG